rnacentral:rRNA from 1 species
AUUGAACGCUGGCGGAAUGCUUUACACAUGCAAGUCGAGCGGCAGCGCGGGGCAACCUGGCGGCGAGCGGCGAACGGGUGAGUAAUACAUCGGAACGUGCCCAGACGUGGGGGAUAAUACUCGAAAGAGUGGCUAAUACCGCAUACGAUCUACGGAUGAAAGCGGGGGAUCGCAAGACCUCGCGCGUCUGGAGCGGCUGAUGGCAGAUUAGGUAGUUGGUGGGAUAAAAGCCUACCAAGCCAACGAUCUGUAGCUGGUCUGAGAGGAUGAUCAGCCACACUGGGACUGAGACACGGCCCAGACUCCUACGGGAGGCAGCAGUGGGGAAUUUUGGACAAUGGGCGAAAGCCUGAUCCAGCCAUUCCGCGUGCAGGAUGAAGGCCCUCGGGUUGUAAACUGCUUUUGUACAGAACGAAAAAGACUCUGGCUAAUACCUGGAGUCCAUGACGGUACUGUAAGAAUAAGCACCGGCUAACUACG